rnacentral:tmRNA from 1 species
GGGGGUGUCAAGGUUUCGACGGGGGAAGGAAACGAAGUGCCGCAUGCCGGAGUGGGCAGGCUCCGUAAAAAAGCCCAACUUAACUAAACGCAGACUCUGACGUUAGUUACGCAUUAGCAGCUUAAUAGCUGCUACGUCCUGUCACCCAUCGCCUGUGUGGCUGUCGGGACGUUAAUUGAAGCGGGCUGGUUUUGAAGAAGGACUGUGGCUUCGAAACGAGACUAAAAGCAGACUCGCCUGAUCCGUAUCCUGUCUGUAGGAGCCUGAUCAAGGUUAAAUUUAAACUACAGACUAAGCAUGUAGACGCCUUACGCGGAUAGCUUUCGGACGCGGGUUCGAUUCCCGCCACCUCCACCA